rnacentral:rRNA from 1 species
AAAAGCUCAAAUUUGAAAUCUGCGUAAGCCGAGUUGUAAUUUGAAGAUGGCUACUUUGGUAAUGGCUCUUGUCUAUGUUCCUUGGAACAGGACGUCACAGAGGGUGAGAAUCCCGUGCGAUGAGAUGUCCAUUACCGUGUAAAGUGCUUUCGAAGAGUCGAGUUGUUUGGGAAUGCAGCUCUAAGUGGGUGGUAAAUUCCAUCUAAAGCUAAAUAUUGGCGAGAGACCGAUAGCGAACAAGUACAGUGAUGGAAAGAUGAAAAGAACUUUGAAAAGAGAGUGAAAAAGUACGUGAAAUUGUUGAAAGGGAAGGGCUUGAGAUCAGACUUGGUAUUUUGUAUGGCUUGCUUUCGGGCGGGUCCUCUGCAGUUUACUGGGCCAGCAUCGGUUUGGGUGGCAGGAUAAUAGCAUUGGAAUGUGGCUCUACUUCGGUGGAGUGUUAUAGCCUUUGUUGAUACUGCCUGCCUAGACCGAGGACUGCGUCUUUUGACUAGGAUGCUGGCAUAAUGAUCCUAAGCCGCCCGUCUU